rnacentral:rRNA from 1 species
GAUGAACGCUAGCGGCAGGCCUAACACAUGCAAGUCGAGGGAGAAGCCCUUUCGGGGGCAGAAACCGGCGCACGGGUGCGUAACGCGUAUGCAACCUACCUUUCACAGGGGGAUAGCCCGAAGAAAUUUGGAUUAAUACCCCAUAAUAUUGUUGGAUGGCAUCAUCUGGCAAUUAAAGCUACGACGGUGGAAGAUGGGCAUGCGUCCUAUUAGCUAGUUGGAGUGGUAACGGCACCCCAAGGCUACGAUAGGUAGGGGUCCUGAGAGGGAGAUCCCCCACACUGGUACUGAGACAGGGACCAGACUCCUACGGGAGGCAGCAGUGAGGAAUAUUGGUCAAUGGUCGGAAGACUGAACCAGCCAUGCCGCGUGCAGGAAGAAUGCCUUAUGGGUGUAAACUGCUUUUAUAUGGAAGAAUAAGGUGUACGUUACAUGAGACGGUCC